rnacentral:rRNA from 1 species
GACAGAGGAUGCAAGCGUUAUCCGGAAUGAUUGGGCGUAAAGCGUCUGUAGGUGGCUUUUCAAGUCCGCCGUCAAAUCCCAGGGCUCAACCCUGGACAGGCGGUGGAAACUACCAAGCUGGAGUACGGUAGGGGCAGAGGGAAUUUCCGGUGGAGCGGUGAAAUGACAUUGGAGAUCGGAAAGAACACCAACGGCGAGAGCACUACUGGCUGGGCCGACACUGGACAACUGAGAGACGAAAAGCGUAGGGGGAAGGACAAAAUGGGACUUUGGGAAAAUCCCCUA